ensembl:lncRNA
CGCGAGAGACCUAGAAUUAGAAGUGGAGCUCAAAGACAUGACUGAGCUGGUGCACUCCCAAGGGAAGACUUGAAGAAGAAAAGAAAGUGGCUUCUUGAGAUGAAAUCUAUUCCUGGUGAAAAUACCCUGAAGAUUGUUGAAAUGACAACAAAGGAUUUAGGAUAUUACAUGAAUUUGGUUAAUAAAGCCAGCAGCAAGGCUUGAGAGGAUUGACUUAAAUUCUGAAAGAAGAUUUACCAUAGGUAAAUCUGAAAAUGCUAUCGAUCAGCAUUGCUUGCUAAUCAUUCCUGAACAGAGUCGAGCGAUGCAAAAAUUUCAUUGUUGUCUUAUUUUAAGAAAUGGCCGCAGCCACCCCAACCUUCAGCAACCACCAUCCUGAGCAAUCAGAAGACAUCAACACAGGGUCUCCAGGAUACAAGACAUAUAUUAAUUCAAUGAACAUUUGUCGAGAACUUGCUGCGUGCCAGGUAAUGAGAUAAGCUCUGUGGAAUUGAAAUGCUAUCUUCUGUCAAGGAGACAUGUAAACAAAUGCUUAUUAGGAUGACAGGACCAGAUGACAUCUGUGCCGCCGCCACUCUCUGCCACGGUCAGCAUAUAACCUGAACAUUCGCGCUCCUAGAAGGGCUCACCGUGCUGAAUUCAUGGCCAACUGGAAGAUCCGAAAUAGUAUUUCUUCAGGAUCUUUUAAAGAAAUAAGUUGAAGAGAAGGCGACUGGGUAAGUAGGUGGGAAUUUGAUACCUUCAAAGGAGCCUAGCUAGACUUUGUCCCAAACAGGAUCACAAAUAUAGAGGGAGUCAGUUCUGUUUCAGAAGCAAGACUCUCAAAAAUAGUAGUGGUUUCAAUGCAAUAUGUUUUCUUGGGCAUGCAUUGAUUUGCUAAUUUAUAGUUUGCAUUAUUCGUACUUGCAUCACAGUGCAUGGCCCAAAAUACCAUGGGGAUGGAGACAGUGCUUCCUCUGAAGUUUCCCAACUAGUCUGUGUAAAUUGGGGGUGAACAGUCUCAGCAAAGAGAGGAGGGGCCUCUCCUCCCUAUUGUGCUAAGGCAACAACAGCUGGCAGCAAACAGCACCGUCUGCUGGAUCUUCGCUGGGUUAUCAAUUG